AAAAAGGGCUUCUGUCAUGAGUGGCACACAUAGGACAACUCAAUUUCUCUUCAUGCAGAAUAAACAUCAAGAGAUUUUGGAAGCGUAAUUUUUGGUAGUUGGGCAGCUGGUGAUCACUGGUGCCAGCACCCUU
ensembl:snRNA RNU11-6P RNA, U11 small nuclear 6, pseudogene